UAUAGGAUCCUGCCCCCUAUGGGACCCCGAUGAACCCACCCAGUGCUUCUACCAACCCCAAGAGGAAGAGGAGGACGAAGACCCCCCCCAACCCCAUAUAGAAUCCCAUAUUACACCCCAUAAGGACCCAGGAGACAUCAGAGACCCCAACGAGGACGGCGGAGCCAAAGCAGAAGUGGGCGGAGCCAGAGUGAAAAGGGGCGGAGCCAAAGCGAAAGGGGGCGGAGCCAAAGCAAAAAGAGGCGGAGCCAAAGAACAAGUGGGCGGCGCCAAAGCGAAAAGGGGUGGAGCUAAAGCAAAAGGAGGCGGAGCUAAGGCAGAAAGAGGCGGGGCUACGGCAGAAGUGGGCGUGGCUACGAUAAGCCCCGCCCCCUUGCGCCGCAGUCUCCGCCUAUUGGCCAAGCUCCUCCCACCUGACCCCGGAAGUGGGCGUGGCCAAGAAGAGCCCCGCCCCCAGAGGGGAGGCCACGCCCCUCCUCGUAAGAAAGCACGGCUCCGCCCACCGGAGGAGGAGCCUGAUGACGUCACCGGGCCUAAGCUCCGCCCACGAGGAAGCUCCGCCUCCUCUGGCCCCAAGGUUUGAGCCCCAUACCCCCCCCAUAGACCC